UCCACUCACAGGUAGAAUUGAGAUUAGAGA
rnacentral:piRNA from 1 species